rnacentral:rRNA from 1 species
GAUUCUGGCUCAGAACGAGCGCUGGCGGCAGGCCUAAGUCAUGCAAGUUGAACGGCUGUAGCAAUACAGCAGUAGCGGACGGGUGAGUAAUGUAUGGGAACGUAUCUUCUAGUGGGGAAUAUUCUUUGGAAACGAAGAGCAAUACCGCAUGAGUCCUACGGGAGAAAGUCGCAAGACGCUAGAUGAGCGGCCCAUAUUGGAUUAGCUAGUUGGUUAGGUAAUGGCUGACCAAGGCAACGAUCCAUAGCUGGUCUAAGAGGACGAUCAGCCACAUUGGGACUGAGACACGGCCCAGACUCCUACGGGAGGCAGCAGUCAGGAAUAUUGGACAAUGGGGGCAACCCUGAUCCAGCCCAUGCCGCGUGAGUGUUAAGGUCUUCGGAUUGUAAAGCUCUUUUGUGUGGGAAAAUGAUGAUGGUACCACAAGAAUAAGCACCGGCUAACUUCGUGCCAGCAGCGGC